ACACGUAUGAAAGACAAGCUGAAAGACUUUUCUCAAUGAUGUAAGUGGUGGUGCAUGGUCGUUCUUAGUUCGUGGAGUGGUUUGUCUGGUCUAUUCCGAUAACGAGCGAGACCCCGACGUUCCUAAUAGGGGCAGCAGCCCGGCUUUCGCCCGCAAGGGUGUUCGCUAGCAGCUGCCUCACAAUAUGCUUCUUAGACGUAUCAGAGCCGAUAAGGUUCUUGAAAUGGGUUAAUAACAGGUCAGUCAUGCCCUUAGAUGUUCUGGGCCGCACGCGCGUUACAAUGGCAUGCUUAGAAAGUGCUCAAAAGGGCGUCUCCGCGGCCUACCGGCUGUGGUAACCCCUAGUCCCUGCCUUGACUGGGACAGACUAUUGCAAUUAUUGGUCUCAAACGAGGAAUUUUUAGUAGUCACAGGUCAUUAACCUGUGACGA
rnacentral:rRNA from 1 species